AAGGCUUUAAGUUAACCAAACUAAUAGCCUUCAAAGCUGUAAAUAGGGAUAAGAUUUCUUUAAGCCUUA
rnacentral:tRNA from 1 species